CUUGGUCAUUUAGAGGAAGUAAAAGUCGUAACAAGGUCUCCGUUGGUGAACCAGCGGAGGGAUCAUUACCGAGUACUAUAACUCAUAACCCUUUGUGAACCUUUAUACCUGUUGCUUCGGCGGCGCGCCUCCCGGGGCGUGCCCGCCGGCAUUAUCAGAAUCUCUGUUCGAACCCGACGAUACAUCUGAGUGUUCUAAGCGAACUGUUAAAACUUUCAACAACGGAUCUCUUGGCUCCAGCAUCGAUGAAGAACGCAGCGAAACGCGAUAUGUAAUGUGAAUUGCAGAAUUCAGUGAAUCAUCGAAUCUUUGAACGCACAUGGCGCCUUCCAGUAUCCUGGGAGGCAUGCCUGUCCGAGCGUCGUUUCAACCCUCGAGCCCCCGUGGCCCGGCGUUGGGGAUCUGCCCCGGCACUCCCCGAAAACCACUGGCGGACCCGUUGGGCCCYUCCUUUGCGUACUAACAUCUGCCUCGCAUCGGGAGCCYGCGGGSUAUCCGGCCUCUAAACCCCCCUCAAGCCCGCUCCGGCGGCACCAAGGUUGACCUCGGAUCAGGUAGGAAUACCCGCUGAACUUAAGCAUAUCAAUAAGCGGAGGAAAAGAAACCAACAGGGAUUGCCUCAGUAACGGCGAGUGAAGCGGCAACAGCUCAAAUUUGAAAUCUGGCUCCUUCGGGGCCCGAGUUGUAAUUUGCAGAGGAUGCUUCGGGUACGGGUUCCUUCCGAGUUCCCUGGAACGGGACGCCAUAGAGGGUGAGAGCCCCGUCUGGUAGGACACCCAGCCCGUGUGAAGCUCCCUCGACGAGUCGAGUUGUUUGGGAAU
rnacentral:sRNA from 1 species